AUCUACAGCAAUAUCAUCCUGAAUGUACCCAAUCUCAUCUGAUCUCAGAAGCUAAGCAGGAUCAGGCGUGCUUAGUAUUUGGAUGGGAUUCCACCUGGGAAUACUGGUUGCUGUAAGCU
ensembl:rRNA 5S_rRNA 5S ribosomal RNA